rnacentral:misc_RNA from 1 species
GUAGCCAUUCAAAUAGCUUAAAGUCUUCUACCACAGAUGGAAAAACUCAAACUUCUCUACGAUUGAGUAGUCAUCAAGUCAGUCUUUUGCUUUCAUCACUAUGGGUUCAAGCAACAUCUGCUGAGAAUAUGCCUGCAAAUUUUGAGGCCAUGGCACAUUCUUAUAACAUUGCUUUGCUCUAUACUCGGUCUAAGACGUCCAAUCACAUGGCCCUAGCUCGGUGUUUUCAGCUGGCAUUCUC